AUUGAACGCUGGCGGCAUGCCUUACACAUGCAAGUCGAACGGUAACAGGUCUUCGGAUGCUGACGAGUGGCGAACGGGUGAGUAAUACAUCGGAACGUGCCUAGUAGUGGGGGAUAACUACUCGAAAGAGUGGCUAAUACCGCAUGAGAUCUACGGAUGAAAGCAGGGGAUCGCAAGACCUUGUGCUACUAGAGCGGCCGAUGGCAGAUUAGGUAGUUGGUGGGAUAAAAGCUUACCAAGCCGACGAUCUGUAGCUGGUCUGAGAGGACGAUCAGCCACACGGGGACUGAGACACGGCCCAGACUCAGACGGGAGGCAGCAGUGGGGAAUUUUGGACAAGGGGCGCAAGCCUGAUCCAGCAAUGCCGCGUGCAGGAUGAAGGCCUUCGGGUUGUAAACUGCUUUUGUACGGAACGAAAAGCCCUGGGUUAAUACCCUGGGGUCAUGACGGUACCGUAAGAAUAAGCACCGGCUAACUACGUGCCAGCAGCCGCCGUAACAC
rnacentral:rRNA from 1 species